CUACGUGCCAGCAGCCGCGGUAAUACGUAGGUCCCGAGCGUUGUCCGGAUUUAUUGGGCGUAAAGCGAGCGCAGGCGGUUAGAUAAGUCUGAAGUUAAAGGCUGUGGCUUAACCAUAGUACGCUUUGGAAACUGUUUAACUUGAGUGCAAGAGGGGAGAGUGGAAUUCCAUGUGUAGCGGUGAAAUGCGUAGAUAUAUGGAGGAACACCGGUGGCGAAAGCGGCUCUCUGGCUUGUAACUGACGCUGAGGCUCGAAAGCGUGGGGAGCAAACAGGAUUAGAUACCCUGGUAGUCCACGCCGUAAACGAUGUCGAUUAGCUGUUGGGCAGCUUGACUGCUUAGUAGCGUAGCUAACGCGUGAAAUCGACCGCCUGGGGAGUACGGUCGCAAGAUUAAAACUCAAAGGAAUUGACGGGGACCCGCACAAGCGGUGGAUGAUGUGGAUUAAUUCGAUGCAACGCGAAGAACCUUACCUGGUCUUGACAU
rnacentral:rRNA from 1 species